GCGCGAGUAGUUUAAUGGUAAAAUGCGGGCUUCCCAUGCACAUCACGUGACAGGCCUGCCUGAUCUUCGGGUUCGAUUCCCGGCUCGCGCA